CCGAAAAUAACGCUCGCGUCUUCCUCCUUUGCUAAGCUCCUUCCUCCCGCUGCCGCAACCCUACGUCGCGUCUUCUUGCCUGGCUGCUCUCCCUACCUCUCCCUUUUAUCGGUGGUGCGGUUCUUCUUCUAGGUGGCUCCUCAGGCGGUUUCCGUUGGACCUGGAAUUCAUCCCGCGUGUUUCCUCCCUCGGCGGUUCUUCUUACUCUCGUCCCCAAAUUCGACUCAAAGAAGAGGCGUACGCUCAGGUCGAGUGAAGAAAACGUUGGGCUUCUUCGUCCAGAAUCUCAUUGUCUCCAGCUUCUCUGUCCAGAAGCUGCCCAAGUCCACCAUCAUAGCCUUCAAUGUAGAGUCGCAUGCCACAGCCAACCAGCAGAACUCAGCCGGUUUCUCGUGCUAUAUUUUGGAUUUUAAAGGUAAAGCUGUUAGGAUUUUCCCCCUCAGUUUGUGAAUUGGAUGUUGUAUUUUGUUGUUAAAAGUAGAUGAAGAAAUUCAAGUGAAUCAUGCAUUUGGUUUUUUCCUAAGAUCAUUUGUGCACUGAUAUUCAUUUCGCUGCUUUUGUCUAUUUGUUAAUGCUGCUUAAAAUUAUUUAGAAGAUGUUGUAUUGCUUUUCAAAUGGAGGAAACUGCAUACAAACUUUUUCCUGUUGCUGUUUGACUUAUGAUACUUUUCCUGUUAAUCCUAACUAUGAUUUUUCUUCUCAUACGUAUCUCAGACCAGCUUUUCAGACUUUGGUCUUCACAGAUCGUGCUUGAUGAAAAUAUUCAUUGGAAGCGUAAUCGUUCUCAUUACUAAGUUGUUGUCCAUAGCUGAGUAUUGAAUGAGUUCCUUCUAACAAGUUCCUUAUAGUCAAUUUCAGCUUCAUUUUGGGUUUGGCAACACUAUUUUUUUUAAUCUUUCAAAGGUUGUCCAUACCUCUCAUCAACUUGAGUCGUAGCUAUGUUGUCAAAUGCUAUUUGGGGCUUCUGCCUAGGUUCUCCUAGGCUGUCGGGCUUGUCUAAUUGCUUAAGCUAGUCAGCUUCAGGUGAAUUGUAAUUAUAGAUUUAGCAGUUAGCAUUUAUGAAAUGGUAAGGUUUUGCCUUGGAAGAAGCCCUUAAAAGCUCUAGUUCCUUGAGAAUUAAGGAGCAUGAAGAUGUCCAUGUGAAAGCUGGUCGUCCAGAGUGGUGGCCGGCAGAGUGGGGUCAUGAGCAGGAAUAAGACUCAGACGUCGUUGUUUAUAGCUGUCCCUAGUUCUCAUCCUUUUUAUUUAACACCCUUGCCUUGUAAACUGAUGCUGUGAGUUGUGAAAGUUGGCGACCUCCUCAGCUAGCUCAUUGAUGGGGGCGUCACGGGUGGGAGAGAUGAAAGUUAAAGAUAUCAAUUUUGUACCGUGAUCAGUAGUAAAUGUAUUGAAAUUGUGUUGCUGGCA